UUCAUGUGGUUCGUUUUCAUUAGUCUUGACCUUAGAGGUCACUGCUGAUGGCCAAUACAGGAGGUGCUUUUGUUGAAGAACAAAUCACUACAUUUGCCAUCAUUACACUACAUUUGUCUUUAUACCUGUGUCGGUGAAAUAAUUAGUGACUUCAAUUUUGCAAGUUUAUUUAUCAUCGCAGUUCAUUUUAUGAGAAGGUGUUAAAAAUGAUUCUGCUUUGUUUUUCUUGUUACAGGCAGCUAUGUAGCAUUCAAGCACUUUUCCAGAAUCUUUUUUUAUUCUGAUCACAUUCCCAGAGGGGGGCAAAUCAUCACAAUUUACAACCAUGAAAUGUUACCGCAGGUUGCAGUUCAUGCCCAGACCUGAUGGCAGAGCUGAGAAUGGGAAGCGGUGACCUGACAAGUGCUAAGAGGAUAGAGCUGGAUAAAGGACGCGACAACUUUGUUUUUUUCUACAACAUUUCAAAUGCUAUUAGAUUGUUAAUGAUAAUCUUUAAUUUUUAUAUUUUUAUUAAGCCUUGUUGUGCAAGCACUGAUGAGCUUGUGCAGAGGCAGCAGCUUUUGCCAGAGGGGAACUGGAAUCCCCUGGUUGGGCCUGGGUUCCCCUGAGGUUUUUUUUCUCGAUGGGAGUUUUGGGUUCCUCACCACCGUUUGCAUAUUGUUUUGCACUAUCUGCCUGGCCGGGGGGGCUGCUUUAGAAUUCAUACUUGUAUUCAAUGUGUCUCAUGUACAGCUGCUUUGUAACAAUGAAAAUUGUAAAAAGCGCUAUAUAAAUAAAGUUGAGUUGAGUUGAGUUGA